ensembl:snRNA U6 U6 spliceosomal RNA
GUGCUCACUUCAGCAGCACAUAUACUAAGAUUGGAACGAUGCAAAGAAGAUUAGCAUGGCCCCUGAAAAAUUUUAAAAGAAUUUGUUUAAAAAUAAAAGUAGUUCAU